rnacentral:rRNA from 1 species
UACAGAGGGGGCGAGCGUUAUUCGGAAUUAUUGGGCGUAAAGGGCGCGUAGGCGGCUUUGCAAGUGACGGGUGAAAUCCCUCGGCUUAACCGAGGAACUGCCUGUCAGACUGCAUGGCUUGAGACCAGGAGAGGUGAGUGGAAUUCCCAGUGUAGCGGUGAAAUGCGUAGAUAUUGGGAGGAACACCAGUGGCGAAGGCGGCUCACUGGACUGGUACUGACGCUGAGGCGCGAAAGCGUGGGGAGCAAACAGG